rnacentral:sRNA from 1 species
UUAAACUCCGGUUCUCCUACUCGCCUCAC